UCGGCUGGAAUCGAUUCGGGCUUGGCUUCGGAAUCCGAUUCGGGUUCUGGCUCGGAGUCCGAUUCGGGGUUCGGCUCGAGUUCGGAUUGGGAGUGGUGGACUUGGGUGUUGCUGCUUCACUGUGGCUCAUCUGAAAUGGGUUAGUGCAACUCUUGGUUGGACAUAGUACAGCGUGAUAAGUGUCUUCGCUGGCUCCUCGGAAGAGGGUGGCUGAUCUGGAGCUCUGUGCUUCCAACUGUCCUUGGACAAUCUCUGACCACUUGACCUCAAAUCGAGUAGGACUACCCGCUGAACUUAAGCAUAUCAAUAAGCGGAGGAA
rnacentral:rRNA from 1 species